GACGAACGCUGGCGGCGUGCUUAACACAUGCAAGUCGAACGGAAAGGCCCUGCUUUCGUGGGGUGCUCGAGUGGCGAACGGGUGAGUAACACGUGAGUAACCUGCUCUUGACUUUGGGAUAACUUCAGGAAACUGGGGCUAAUACCGGAUAGGAGCUCCUGCUGCAUGGUGGGGGUUGGAAAGUUUCGGCGGUUGGGGAUGGACUCGCGGCUUAUCAGCUUGUUGGUGGGGUAGUGGCUUACCCAGGCUUUGACGGGUAGCCGGCCUGGGAGGGUGACCGGCCACAUUGGGACUGAGAUACGGCCCAGAGUCCUACGGGAGGCAGCAGGGGGAAAUAUUGCACAAUGGGCGGGAGCCUGAUGCAGAAACGCCGCGUGCGGGAUGACGGCCUUCGGGUUGUAAACCGCUGUCGCCUGUGACGAAGCGUGAGUGACGGUAAUGGGUAAAGAAGCACCGGCUAACUACGUG
rnacentral:rRNA from 1 species